rnacentral:rRNA from 1 species
UACGUAGGGGGCUAGCGUUGUCCGGAAUCAUUGGGCGUAAAGCGCGUGUAGGCGGCUCGGUAAGUCCGCUGUGAAAGUCGGGGGGCUCAACCCUCGGAACGCGGAUGACUGUCGGUCGACUAGAGACGGAAGAGGCGAGUGGAAUUCCUGGUGUAGCGGUGAAAUGGCGCAGAUAUCAGGAGGAACACCGAUUGCGAAGGCAGCUCGCUGGGACGUUACUGACGCUGAGACGCGAAAGCGUGGGGAGCAAACAGG